rnacentral:rRNA from 1 species
AUACGUAGGUGGCGAGCGUUGUCCGGAUUUACUGGGUGUAAAGGGCGUGUAGGCGGGAUUACAAGUCAGAUGUGAAAUACCGAGGCUCAACUUCGGGGCUGCAUUUGAAACUGUAAUUCUUGAGUGUCGGAGAGGAAAGCGGAAUUCCUAGUGUAGCGGUGAAAUGCGUAGAUAUUAGGAGGAACACCAGUGGCGAAGGCGGCUUUCUGGACUGUAACUGACACUGAGGCACGAAAGCGUGGGGAGC